rnacentral:tRNA from 1 species
UGGCUCAUGGUGUAACGGCAACACUACUGGUUUUGGUCCAGUCAUUCUAGGUUCGAAUCCUAGUGAGCCAA